AUAUGAUCACCGAAGUUAAGCAACGUCGAGCCUGGUAAGUAUCUAGGUCGGUGACUGCUUGGGAAUACCAGGUGCUGUAAG